CUCUCUUUCUCUCUCUCUCGCUCUGGCCUUUUAUACGGCGACGUUCUUUCACUCUUCGCCCCGUCUCUAUGAUCAGAUCCAAACCCUUUUAAUCGCGCCUCUCUCUCUUUCUCUCUCUCUCUCUCCCUCGCUCUCUCGCUUUCAAACCCGCUCUCUCGCUUUCAAACCCUAGAACCUUUGAUUGAACCCUAUCAAUGCACGGGCCAACGAAAACCUACCUAAAACAAUUCGAUCGGAAACGGACGAGAUGGUUCUUUGGAGCCUGGAUAUCUCAGUUGUUGCAUGUGGUGGUGGCAAGCUCGAGGCAGCAAUUGCAUAUCUUGCAAGAAAUUGGGUUGAGUGAUGCUCAUACCGGUGAUUUUCUUGCAAGUUAUGUAGUUGCUGCCUCAAGCUUGCUACCUCCCUUUGCCAGAACUAGUGAGUAACAUGCACAGAAUUCAGCCCUGCUAUGUAAGCUUUUGCAGUUUUGAAAUUUUGUAGUAACAUGAUUAUGAAAUAUAUUAUCAUUUUAAAGAAACAAUUAUGAUUGCAGAUACAAACCUGAAACAUCAUGAGACAUGUAAAUACUAGAAAAUUAUGUGAUGAAAUGAAAAAUGUUCGACUGCCGCUAUAUUUACUUGAUGUCUAAGAUAAUUCAGUAGGCAUUCAGCAGCCAUAUCAAUAUGCUUUAUGUGAAAACCGCAAAGUAAGCAUGAAAGUGCUGUUUUCUUCAACACUGUGUUUAGAUUAAUAUGCUGACCAUCCAUUGUCAAAAGUAACAAGUAAGCAUCAUUUAAGCAGGUGAAGAAAAUAACAAUAAAAGGACAGCUAACCAUUCUUAAGUAGUCAUGGCAGUCAUAGGUCAUAUAUCUGUUGUACGUUUUGCAGUCUAAAAUAGUUGCUUACAGGUCCAAACUGAAAUUUCAGCCCGAAAUUAAUUUGUGGAAUUGUCUUCUGUCCCAGAUAGUCCUGCCUAAGCAUGCAUGCUGAGAAAAAUAUUUAUUAAAUCAACGAAUUUGAGUUGGAACUUGUGAAGUGCUUCUAGAAGCCUUGGUUGAUAAUGGGAUAUCUUGGCCCACUAAAUAAAUCAGGAGAGACAUCAAAACGUUCCUUGUCUUAUAUUUGCUUCUUUUGCUGAAAUGAACUAGCUUCACCAGUUCUUUUGCUGAGAACUAGCUUCACCAGUGAAGCAUGCAAACUCACAUUUAAGUCAUCUCACACCAGUUUCAUUCACGCAAUAACCAAACUCGAUGACUCAUAUAUGUUGGGCAUGCUAGCCGAAGCUCUAUGGGAACACGAGAAGUUUGUGUAUCUUGGCCAAGUCAAAGGAAGGGAAAGAGGAGAAGUCGUGUAUCUAGGCCAUGCCAAAAGGAACAGAAGAAACAAAUCGGUAGAAACUGACGAGAUUAGUUUAUAUGAGGAAUUACUUUACCAAAUUGUUCAUUUGACAUGCUUAUUUAGGAACUUGGAGAAAAUUGUUUUUCACUAGAGGAAUCUGAGUUUUAUUAUCUGUUAAAAGCUCUAAACUGGCAUGCCGAAAGUAGGAUAGGCCAUCGGACCAUAUGUCAUUUCACUUGAGAUUUGUAAAUACUUACCCAUUGGACCAUGCGUCCUUCCAAUUGAGGUUUGGAAGUGGCAAGUUAAAGUAGGGACCAAGUAGCUAAUUAAUACAUGUAAUCAAUUUCUCCGAACAAAGUUUGAUCAAUACAGUGGAGGUCAGGUUCCAAAUUUGACAGAAAAUUUUGAUUUCAUCCAUGAGUGUUAGGUAAUUAUGGGCACCGUCCUACAUAACCUUUUUAACAAGCACAAGCCCUCUUAGAGAUGGAGAAUUGCAGAACACGUAAAGCUGGCUAGAAGUUGGCUAGAGCUGCUUACUGUCAGUACAGUAUUAUACAUCAUAUAGUGACAAACGGAGGCCAAAUAGAUGGUAUGACUGAGUGAGUGAAGCCUAGGGAAGUUGAAAAUCAUGGAUUAACAGAUGAAGCGUUGAACACUGGCUUAAUCUUGUAUGGUAACUGAUGAUUGCUGUGAACAGUGCACAAUCUUUUGAGCCCCCUUGCCUUCUCUGUUAGCACCUAUGUGAAACAUGACUAGCCAUACAGCUAGAAAUGCUUAAGCCCAAGUUACUAAUACUAGCUUACUAGCUUACAUAUAUUCAUGCCCUCUGUCAUCAUCUUUUGAUACGAGAUUACUUGCGCUGUGGCUCAAUAAGCUGGAAAUAGCUUUGUGCCCAGCAGAUUGUGAAGCUUAAACAGAGGGACCUGCAUUGAGAAUAAUCUCGUGAGUGUUCUUUGUCUGCAAUGAAUGGCACUUAUAUGUUGACUUCUAACUCUAAUAUAUCGUUGUUGAUCAUGCAUUUAAUGAGUUUUAUAUUGUUAAUUCGUUAUUUGACUCAGAAGUUAGCAGGUGAUCUGGAUUUCAUGGUGCCAUUGCUGGUACAUCUCUCUCUCUCUCUCUCUCUCUCUCUAUAUAUAUAUAUAUAUAUAUCUGCAAAGAACCAACAUGUAUUCCUGAAAUCAUUAACUACAUUUUUCAGGGAAAAAAAAACAAGCAUUAUUGAAAGUAUAGUGCUUCAUAACUAUGCUACCUCGUUAUAAGUAGUUGACUGGUGCUAACUUUUGCCAUUUCUACACAUAUAUGUAAGGGUUAUAUGAGGAUGCCAUUAACCCAUUUCUAUGUCAUGGCUAUAUGGAGUACAGUAACUGCUGUUGCUGUUACAUAUUUUGUUAGUACUCCAAAGCUUUUAAACUCGACUUGGCAUCCACUUUUCAAAAGACAGAUCACUUCAAGCAUCUGUUGUCCAAUUGAUGAAGUGUUCUUCCCGACUCUGCAUCAAUUCUUCGAAAAAGGACAGAUCAUUCAAGAAGGUCUGAUAUAUCCUCGUCUCAGAAAGCACUCAAACAAGACAAAGUCUCAGAUUUCAUGAACCGGAGGUGGAGAGUGACUUGCCUAGUUCCAAUCCGAAUCCUAGGAGCAAAAUUUGGAAGUUCUUGGCAAAUUAAGGUUUAAAUUAUGGACUGUUGGUUUUGUUUUCCAUACUGACACGAUUUCAACCCUACUUGCGUGGGGUGUUACUGCAGGUCUGAUAAAUCCUCGUCUCUAGAAAGCACCGAAAGAAGACAGAUCUCAGAUUUCGUGAACCGGAGGUGGAGAGUGACUUGCCUAGUUCCAAUCUGAAUCCAAGGAGCAAAAGUUGAAGUUCUUGGCACAUUAAGGUUUAAAUUAUGGGACUGCAGGCAGUAUUGGUUGGCAACCAGAAUGCUGUCAUCAGGCAUUGAUUAAGAGAAGCAAACCAAUUUGCAAUCCAGUUGUAUGUUUUCGGAGAUUAAUGAUUCCAAUCUUCAAAUUAUAUCGAGUAAACUUGUCGAUGGCUGUUACGUGAAACAUUGAACAGCUGGCUUUUACCUUUUUCUUUUUUUUUUCCUGUAGCAGAUGGUCUAUAGUGAGUCUGCUUCAUGAAAAUUCAAUUGUCUUUAGAGAAUAAAGCAUGCCCGAAGUGCUCAGGUUGCUUGAGGAACAAAUUGAAUCACCAUUCUGGUCCAGGAUCCUCCUUUUCAAGCUAUCUGAAGGUGUACAAGACUCGGAUAUUUCAAUUUAAUGUAGCUCUGGGGGAUCAGCCAGGAGCUAGGACAAAUAACCCUUCUGCAGAACUGAGGGGGUGUUUGUUUCUACAGAAGUCUGUUGCCCAAAGUGGAUGCCAGGUGGAACUCACGAUAUCCGUUAUUUGGCUUUCAUGCAACUUGAGAGAUCCAACGAAGUGGGUUUUACUCGCGUGGUUUUGACUUCAUCAGAUAUCGGUUCUAAGUCGCGAGUCCAAGCAAAAUUACGACUGCAUGGAACAGGUGACUAGAUGUUUCUCCACUAUUCUAAUUUUCGAACGCACCCUUAAUGGAUCUGUCAUUCUUUCCUCGCGUUCUUUAUUCUACACGGACAUUGGAGCCAUGCUGCAAUCUUGCAACAAACAGCAUGAAUUUGAAUUCUUGGAAACAUGGGCACACUUACCUGUGGGUCACCGUAGGCUCGACCAAUCCAUCUUGUAUAGAUGGAUAAGAAUAUGGGUUCAGGAUUUCUGGGUUUUUUUGUCAAAAAAAAGAGAAAAAAAAUACACCCCGUAUGCUUGUAGUUAUUUUCAAUCAAUUCGUUUCUCUUUUCCUUCUCAGUAUAAGAGAGAGAAACUCAGCUCGGAGUUUGGCCUAAUUUCAGGUUGGGUUAAUUUUGGGUCGGCAUGGUUCGGUACUUCCAUAUACAUGUGCAUUUUAAGAUCGAGCCCAGGUAAGAAACAUGCGCUGCCUCAGACCAUGCCAACUAAUGAGUUUUUGGGAAUAAUGUGUAGACUUUCCCAACUUUGCACUUCCGGGGCUACCUCCUAAACUUCUAUUGCUGACAAUUAGACCUUCUUAACUCUAUAAUAAGUUGUUAAAUAGACGCUUGAGUUCCUUAAGUGUUACUAUAUAUAAAUGCGAACAUGCUUGUGUUUUGCAUGUGAGACAGUAGACUGUUCGCUCCUGAAUGCCCAGUAUAUCUUCUGUUAUUAUA